rnacentral:sRNA from 1 species
UUAUUUUUAUAAAUCAAUGAUAAAUAAUUAUCAUUAUUAAUAAUUAUUAAUUCAUUAUCAUCAAACUUAGGAUAUUUACGGAUUCUGAUAUUUACGGGUUUACGUUUUUGGCGGGAAAAUGAUGUAUUUAUGUUUUUGGCGGGAAAAUUACGGGUUUACGUUUUUGGCGGGAAAAUUACAGGUUUACGUUUUUGGCGAGAAAAUUACGGGUGUACGUUUCUGCGGAAAAUCACGGAUUUACGUUUUUUGGCGGGACAAUUACGGGUUUACGUAUUUUUGGCAAGAAAAUCACGGAUUUACGUUUUUUGGCGGGAAAAUCACGGGUUUACGUCUUUCGCGGGAAAAUCACAGAUUUAUGCUUUUUGGUGGAAAAAUUACGAGUUUACUUUUUCUCAAUUUUAUCGCUUGAAUAUUUAAGC